AAUCGGGCCCUCGCCACCCCCCCUCUAAUCCAUCUAGCAAGCCAUGGCUGGACACCGCUUUCCCCUGAAGCCUUAACCACGCACGAUCUGAAAGCGUGAGGUCACCGGCGAGCACGAAUUCAAGAGAGAACAAAAAAAAAUCGUCGCCGCGCUGAGGAGAGAAAGAAAUCGCGCCAUACGCAUGGCCAUGGUCGUCGUCGGGGCUUCAGGGCCACUCAAGCUUGCAGCAGUUGCUUCUGGGGGCCUAACCACGGCGCGCCCUGCGUAGCAGGGUUGGGAAGACGGACUGGGAUCGCUCCUGGGCAGCUGUUGCGGUGCCGGUAGGGCAGUUGCGUGUUUGCGGCUGCUCCUGUGCGCUGGAGGGUCGCUGGGUCCGGCACUAUGGGCUCGUCACCAUAGUCCACGGAUUCGUACCGGAAAGUCUCACCGUGCGUGGAGGUCCGGGCAGGUGAACUUUCUGCGGCGGUUUGGCGGCCGAAGAUCUUGGAAUUUGUUGACGAAAUGCAUGCUCCUCCGCAUGUCCGAUGUGCGCCGUGGCCAGGGGUAUUCAUUCUGCGAUUGCCGGUAAGACACCUCCCAUGAUGUUCGCCGUCCUCCCUUGUACGUCUGGAUUAGAUCCGCUUUUUGGAUGGGACACCAGUGCACCGAGGCGCCGUUCACCGACGUAGGCUACCGUCGUUGGGGCGGCGCCGCCGUACCCCUGUAGCUGAGCGAGGAAGAAAGACCCCUGGUCGUCCGAUUGGCUUUGGGCGGCCUGGAUUAGAGGCUCGUACCUAUUCAACUCGGCCGGAUCUCGACCGUUGAUCGGUUAUCCUAGGCUUGUGUUAGAUCUGGGCGUGGGACGUUAUGGUCCAUGGAUCUCGAAUCGUGCGGCUGGCACCUGAUACCGGUUCGCUGUUGCGCGAUUUAAUAUGGGGCGUGCAUCCUUGAUCCAACGACCCGAAUUAACCGAUACCCUUUCGACCUGCGCGUUUUGCAAAAGAGACCUCAUAUUUAACUAUAAACAACCCGCAGUCCGCACUGUGGGAAUACUGAGUCUUGGGAAAAUUGUGAUUUAGGCCCUUGAUCUUUUAAGAAAUAUUGUGUCCAGUCCAGAACACUUAGGAUAUUCAGAAAUUAAUAAAGAAAUAGGUUUUUAGUAUGAAAAUAAUUCCAUAAACUUGUAUAAUUGAUAGUUAAUUCAUUUUAGCUCCAAAUUGAGUCAUUCCAGUUGCUAUAAUUUUGUUUUAAUAUUGUCUAUCAACUAGUAACACUGUUUAGCCAUGAAACUUGAAUUAAAAUUGUCCAUUUGAAUUAAUCUGUUCUAGGUGCUACAUAACUUGAGAAAUCCAUAACUUGGUAACCGUAACUCCGAAUUUAAUGAUUCUUGUUCCCACGGUCUCGUAGAAACGCGUAGAUUAUGACUACGCAAUUUAUUCUUAUGAUUGGUGUGAUGUUAAUUUUGCCUAUACCAUGUAUGUCUGUAUUGCUACGUUUAGCAGUGAGGUCACGUGUCAUCUGAAGAGCAAGUUGGUACCUUCUCAAGUGCCAGGCAAGUUGUGCCCUUGAUCACUUCUUUUUACCCAGCCAUGUUCUGAUUAAUCAUAAUGAUCUGCAUAGGUUAAUUUUGAUGGGACCCAAUAGGUUACCCUAGUUUGAUUAUCUUUAUACCUUGUUACCACUGAACUUUUUGGGUAGUACUUGCUAGUGCUUUAUGUGGUUUUGGGUAUGAAGAUACAUUACUCAUGAUUAUACUUUUGUUAUCCGUUGUUAUUUAUCAUUCAUGAUAAGAUCAUUAUGUUAAUUGGAACAUGGAGCGACCACCCGGGAAAAUUGUGCUACCACAAGGGUAUAAUGGGACGCCCUUGGCUGAUUAAUUAGGAAAGCUAGUGGAGGACUACCUUACCCGAAAGGGGCAAGGGCAGUAGGGGAGUGGUCAGUGUAGGGAGGCCCUUGGGAUGAUUUUGCUGCGAUGGCGGUCAUGCAAGGGAUUCCUGCAUUGGAGCUUCCUAUAAACUGUAGCGGGUUUUCUAAAGCUAGUGGAACUUUGUAAAGGCCUCGUAGUGUUACCCUGCCUCGCCUCCUCGGUAGAGGUGUAUGGGAAGUCGCGAUCCCUUGGCAGAUGGGUAACAUGACUUGUGGGUAAAGAUGCGCAACCUCUGCAGAGUGUAAAACUGGUAUACUAGCCAUGCUCACGGUCAUGAGCGGCUCGGACACUCAUAUGAUUAAAUUAUGGAACUUAAACUCAAUUUGUCAUAUGCAUUGCAUCGCAGGUGAUGUUGUUACUUUUGUUCUACUACUUAAUUGGGUUGGUAUUUACUUAUACUUAGUAAUUGCUAAUAAAAAUUUGACCAACUUUAAAAGCAAUGCUUAGCUCAAACCAUCCUCUUUGGUAAGCCUUACACUUCACGUGAGCUCCCACCUUUGGCGAGUUCAUGCACAUUAUUCCCCACAACUUGUUGAGCGAUGAACGUAUGUGAGCCCACUCUUGCUGUCUCACACCCCCCCACAGGUCAAGAACAAGUACCGCAGGAUGAGGCGCUUGGAGGAUGCUGUGACGAGUUCGUGAGAGGUCUAGGCCGUCGUCUCCCAGUCAACUUUGGGUUGCUGGACCGCUGUCUCCUUAUAAUGUAAUUAUUUAUUUAUUUUGUAUAGAACUUCUAUUAUGUAGUAAAG
rnacentral:lncRNA from 1 species